ACUAAUUGUUUGCGAAAGCAAGUGCCUCAUACGUCAAACUUGUUGGGUUAAUUUUUCUGGGCUGUUUUGGAGUCACCUGCCUUUGUAGUGUAGUUCAAUUGUCCAUUUUGGGAUAUUUGGAAAAUUAAACAAAAUAAAUUCGCCAUGGCUCUUAUCCUAACCAUUUUAACAUUGUCCCCUUGGAUACUAGUAUUUAUGGUUGUCAGAAGUCAAUUCUUCUUUGAAGAUGAUCCACAAACCUACUUGAAAACUAUAUUACCUUGAUGCAAUAGACUAACACACUACUUCUAGGUGGUAUUUUCCAAUAGCAUCAUUAUCCAUCAUUUUAAUUGAUCUUGUUAUUGGGCCUUUUGCAUUUGCAUAACCAAUUCCUCAUGUUAAAUAGUUUAUCCAGUAUGCUUGAAUCUUUAUUCACUAAUUCAGUUCUCUCGGGAUUUUUUCUACAUUAGCAGAACAACUACUCUGCACCUCAUGUUCCGCAAAAUGUUAAUGCAUGUCCAACACUAUUUGUGGCAAAUUUGGGGCCAACUUGUUCAGAGCAAGAGCUAAUUCAAGUCUUUUCAAGUUGCCAUGGAUUUAUAAAAUUGAAGAUGCAGAGCACAUAUGGAACUCCGGUGGCAUUUGUUGAUUUUCAGAUACUUUGUUACUGUCAUUGAAAAGCUAAAACAAGAACUCAUGAUGGGUCCAUGUUUGUAUGUCUUUCAUUAGUUAAUAUAAUUUUUGUUGUGGUACAGAAGUUGUAGGUGUACAAUUAAUUUGGUUAUUCCUGUAUUAUGUAUGGAAUUAAAAUAUUGACGUUGGAUUA